rnacentral:rRNA from 1 species
AGUGAACGCUGGCGGUAUGCCUAACACAUGCAAGUCGAACGGCAGCACAGUAAGAUUUUGCCUUUACGGGUGGCGACUGGCGGACGGGUGAGGAGUACAUAGGAAACCUCUUUUUCGUGGGGGAUAUCGGAAGGACACUUCCGAUAGUACCUAAUAUGUUCUACGGGUGAAUGCAGGGGUGAAUCGCACUUUUCGUGUUUCUUUGAGCCGAGGUCGGAUUAGCUAGUUGGCGGGGUAAAGGCACACCAAGGCGACGAUCCGUAGCUGAUCUGAGAGGAUGAUCGGCCACACUGGAACUGAGACACGGUCCAGACUCCUACGGGAGGCAGCAGUAGGGAAUAUUGGGCAAUGGGCGCAAGCCUGAUCGAGCCAUACCGCGUGGGUGAAGAAGGCCUUCGGGUUGUAAAGCCCUGUUAUUAGGAAAGAAAAGCAGCAGAAGAAAACCCGGCUGUUCUGACGGUACCCAAUGAAUAAGCACCGGCUAACUUCGUG